AUUUGUGACAAUGCCACGUUGAAAGCACGACAUCUCGUCGGGUCUGUCAAGUUAAGCAACGUUGGGUCUUGUUAGUACUGGAUUUGGGCGGCCUGUUGCUUGCAGUGAUGUAAAAAUCAUCGCUACAAAUA
rfam:Brugia malayi, FR3, WGS project CAPY01000000 data, contig: ctg1511188